GGUUUUUCUUCAGUUGCAUUCAACAUUAAAACAAACACACACACCCACUGUGCUCUGUAUUGUGCUCUUCUCUCCAUUCCAUACAUAUCCACCAUUGCACACAUAUCCACCAUUGCACACAUAUCCACCAUUGCACACAUAUCCACCAUUGCACACAUAUCCACCAUUGCACACAUAUCCAUAAUCACACAUAUAUCACCAUUGCACAUAUACCCACUAUCGCACACAUAUACACUAAUGCACACAUAUUUCUGAUGGAGAAAGACAAAUUUGUUAGCUCCUCUUAACUCCAUUCACCUUCUUUCAAGCAAUCUUAAUUAAUGACAGUAUUUUCUAGGCAUCAUUGUAAGCAAUGUAGAUGUACUGAGGAAUUUAUUAGUCAUAAUGGCACUGAGGCUGGGUUAUUACCAAUAAAGCUGGGGCUCAGGUUGGGAAAUGACUUAGGGCUUACAGAAAAAUGAAUCUCAUUAUAGCAGUUUUCAAGAAUAUGUCUUGGUUGUUCCUUUUCUUCUCCUCUUCUUGGCC
rnacentral:lncRNA from 1 species